AGCAGCCGCGGUAAUUCCAGCUCCAAUAGCGUAUAUUAAAGUUGUUGCAGUUAAAAAGCUCGUAGUUGAAUUUCGGGGUCAGUAGAUUGGUCGUGCCACUGGUAUGCACUGGUCUUACUGGCUCCUCCUUCCUGAUGAACCGUAAUGCCAUUAAUUUGGUGUUGCGGGGAGACUGGACUGUUACUUUGAAAAAAUUGAGUGUUUAAAGCAAGCUAACGCUUGAAUACAUUAGCGUGGAAUAAUGAAAUAGGACGUUCGAUCCUAUUUGUUGGUUCUAGGAUUGACGUAAUGAUUAAUAGGGAUAGUGGGGGCAUUAGUAUUCAAUUGUCAGAGGUGAAAUUCUUGGAUUUAUUGAAGACUAACUACUG
rnacentral:rRNA from 1 species